AUUGAACGCUGGCGGCAUGCCUUACACAUGCAGGUCGAACGGUAACGCGGGGCAACCUGGCGACGAGUGGCGAACGGGUGAGUAAUGCAUCGGAACGUACCCAGUUGUGGGGGAUAGCUCGGCGAAAGCCGGAUUAAUACCGCAUACGACCUACGGGUGAAAGCGGGGGAUCGCAAGACCUCGCGCAGUUGGAGCGGCCGAUGUCAGAUUAGGUUGUUGGUGGGGUAAAGGCUCACCAAGCCGACGAUCUGUAGCUGGUCUGAGAGGACGACCAGCCACACUGGGACUGAGACACGGCCCAGACUCCUACGGGAGGCAGCAGUGGGGAAUUUUGGACAAUGGGGGCAACCCUGAUCCAGCCAUGCCGCGUGCGGGAAGAAGGCCUUCGGGUUGUAAAGCUCUUUUGUCGGGGACGAAACGGUUACGGUUAAUACCUGUGACUACUGACGGUACCCGAAGAAUAAGCACCGGCUAACUACGUGCCAGCAGCCGCGGUAACAC
rnacentral:rRNA from 1 species